CAGCCGCCGCGGGAAUACAGAGGGUGCGGGCGUUAAUCGGAUUUACUGGGCGUAAAGCGUGCGUAGGCGGCUUCUUAAGUCGGAUGUGAAAUCCCUGAGCUUAACUUAGGAAUUGCAUUCGAUACUGGGAAGCUAGAGUAUGGGAGAGGAUGGUAGAAUUCCAGGUGUAGCGGUGAAAUGCGUAGAGAUCUGGAGGAAUACCGAUGGCGAAGGCAGCCAUCUGGCCUAAUACUGACGCUGAGGUACGAAAGCAUGGGGAGCAAACAGGAUUAGAUACCCGUGUAGUCCCUGUCUCUUAUAC
rnacentral:rRNA from 1 species